GAAGACACAGAGGGGUGAUGCUGCAAUGCAGAGUCAAGUCAGAGCAGCAGAGCUGUAGAGAAAAGAAUAGGCGUGCUACUUGUGAGCAUCACAUCGUCUCUUCAGAGACAUUAGGGCAAGUGUCUUACUAGAGGUCACAAAAGGGCAUUCCAACAUGGGUGGUUUUAUGAUCACUGGCAAGUAAGAGUCAGUCUUGAGCCCAGGCCAGUACUAGCCCAGGAGAUAACAAGCCAGAUAACAAAGAUAUGAAAGGGCAAUUCCUACCCAAAGACAAUAUGUGAGGCAGUGAGUGAUGCAAUGGGCAUUUUUCCAGGAAAGGAAAGACCACGGUGAGUCCUGGACUGUGCUUGAGCUGGGCUGUUCCUGAGAUGGAGAGGCUUGCACUGAAGAGGCCUGAAUGGAGCAGAGACACCUACCUUGCCUGAGCCUUGGGUGUGUUCAGCUUCCAGAAGGGACAAAGCUCGGCCUGGCGCGUUCCUAACGGGAAUUGGCUCUAGAAGUUCCGGACUUUGUGCUUCUCACUGCUGUGCAGUAUUCCACUGUCACCCCCAAAGCCUCAUGCACUCUGAGGUGAGGCUUGUGGAAGGUGGUUGGAUUGAGAGGACACUACAGCUGACUUAGUGUUAGGAGAUGGGCCCUGAUCAGAAGAGGAGUCAUUGUGAGUAUGACCUGGAAGUGUGUACCCCCCACCCCCCGCUCCUCCCUUCUCUCUGCUUCCUGGCCACUAUGAGGUGAACAGCUUGUCCUCUACCAUGUCUCUCCGUCACGCUGUCCUGCCUUGGAGCCAGCUUACUAUGCACUGAAAUGUGAGCCAAAAUAAAGUUCUCUCCUUUUAAGUUGUAAGCAUCAGGUACUGUGUCGCAGCAAUGAGAAAGUGACUAUGACAAACAUAUGGACCAUUCUUAAAUUUGCUUGUUAUGAACCAAAUGCCUAUCUUGUGGUGAACAAAAGCACCCAUUUCUUUUGGACAUGUAUACCCAGCAGUAGACACCAUUAAACAAGGUAUAUGUAUGCCUAGUCUUAGUGGUGCUUCCAAAGCAG